rnacentral:rRNA from 1 species
GACGAACGCUGGCGGCGUGCUUAACACAUGCAAGUCGAACGAAGAGCGAUGGAAGCUUGCUUCUAUCAAUCUUAGUGGCGAACGGGUGAGUAACGCGUAAUCAACCUGCCCCUCAGAGGGGGACAACAGUUGGAAACGACUGCUAAUACCGCAUACGAUCUAAUCUCGGCAUCGAGGAAAGAUGAAAGGUGGCCUCUAUUUAUAAGCUAUCACUGAAGGAGGGGAUUGCGUCUGAUUAGCUAGUUGGAGGGGUAACGGCCCACCAAGGCGAUGAUCAGUAGCCGGUCUGAGAGGAUGAACGGCCACAUUGGGACUGAGACACGGCCCAGACUCCUACGGGAGGCAGCAGUGGGGAAUCUUCCGCAAUGGACGAAAGUCUGACGGAGCAACGCCGCGUGAGUGAUGACGGCCUUCGGGUUGUAAAGCUCUGUUAAUCGGGACGAAAGGCCUUCUUGCGAACAGUUAGAAGGAUUGACGGUACCGGAAUAGAAAGCCACGGCUAACUACGUG